rnacentral:piRNA from 1 species
ACUGCUGUAUGAGAUAGGCCA